GACGAACGCUGGCGGCGUGCCUAAUACAUGCAAGUCGAACGAGUGGCGGACGGGUGAGUAACACGUGGGAACCUACCCAUCAGAGGGGGAUAACUACUGGAAACGGUAGCUAAUACCGCAUACCAUCAGAUGACACAAUAAGGGAUUAGCUAGUAGGUGAGGUAACGGCUCACCUGGGCGACGAUCCCAAGCUGGUCUGAGAGGAUGAUCAGCCACACUGGGACUGAGACACGGCCCAGACUCCUACGGGAGGCAGCAGUGGGGAAUAUUGCACAAUGGGCGCAAGCCUGAUGCAGCCAUGCCGCGUGUAUGAAGAAGGCCUUCGGGUUGUAAAGUACUUUCAGUCGGGAGGCGUUACCGACAGAAGAAGCACCGGCUAACUCCGUGCCAGCAGCCGCGGUAAUUC
rnacentral:rRNA from 1 species